GGAUGGUGAGACAAAAGCUAGAAGGAUGCAGUACUAGAGAUAGUCCUUUAGAGGGCAAUAAAGAACUGUAAUAGGUGGAAAGAAGAAUCCUGGAGUUCAAACGAACGAACGAGAUGUGGAUCGGUAGGAGUAAUAAUUUUUGAAUGUGUAAAUGCAAAGGAUAGCGAAUUAUGGAGUAGAGUUCCGCAAUUGUAUUCCAACGGGGUUGUAAAUGAAUAGAUAGAGUAUAGACAUUUAUUGUAUGGAUUGUACUUUGGAUAUUUUUGUAAAAUAAAUUAUUGGGCCUGACUCCACAAUUGUGAAUAGAAUGCGAGUUUUAAGUAA